GCUUGGAGACUGGUGACUUUUCAAAUUAAAUCCUGCUUGGUGAUAGUGCAUAUGCAUUGAGGGGAUAUAUGCAGAAAGAGAGCUGAAGAACUGUAUUACUGAAGAAAUGUUUCAGAAUUAUCGGAAUAUGGAAACGCCACUUUCCAAUAUGUUUUAUGGUAUAAGACCAAAAUUGCAAACCACAAUGUCAGUUAUUGUUGCACAACAAUUUUGUUGUUUCAAUGUGCUACACAAUACAGCCAGAAUGAUACCUGAACAAGAGCUGCCGCCGUUAGAUGAAAUAAAUAUGGACCAAAUUAAUAAGAAGAGAAAUAAUAAAUUAUUUUGAAAGA
rnacentral:lncRNA from 1 species